UACGAGGGGGGCAAGCGUUGUUCGGAUUUAUUGGGCGUAAAGGGUGCGUAGGCGGUUUGGCAAGUCUUGUGUGAAAUCUUCGGGCUCAACCCGAAGCCUGCAUUGGAAACUGCCGGGCUUGAGUAUGGGAGAGGUGAGUGGAAUUUCCGGUGUAGCGGUGAAAUGCGUAGAUAUCGGAAGGAACACCUGUGGCGAAAGCGGCUCACUGGACCAUAACUGACGCUGAGGCGCGAAAGCUAGGGGAGCAAACAGG
rnacentral:rRNA from 1 species